rnacentral:rRNA from 1 species
GAUGAACGCUGGCGGCGUGCCUAAUACAUGCAAGUCGAGCGAACAGACGAGGAGCUUGCUCCUCUGACGUUAGCGGCGGACGGGUGAGUAACACGUGGAUAACCUACCUAUAAGACUGGGAUAACUUCGGGAAACCGGAGCUAAUACCGGAUAAUAUAUUAAACCGCAUGGUUCAAUAGUGAAAGACGGUUUUGCUGUCACUUAUAGAAGGAUCCGCGCCGCAUUAGCUAGUUGGUAAGGUAACGGCUUACCAAGGCAACGAUGCGUAGCCGACCUGAGAGGGUGAACGGCCACACUGGAACUGAGACACGGUCCAGACUCCUACGGGAGGCAGCAGUAGGGAAUCUUCCGCAAUGGGCGAAAGCCUGACGGAGCAACGCCGCGUGAGUGAUGAAGGUCUUCGGAUCGUAAAACUCUGUUAUUAGUGAAGACCAAUUGUGUAAGUAACUAUGCACGUCUUGACGGUACCUAAUCAGAAAGCCACGGCUAACUACGUG